UUCUGUAACUUGAUACUCCUUUAAUUUUAGCGAUUAGUGCUAUUGAGUAAGACCCUAGUGCCUAGGAUGAUUUUCUGGCCUCACCCUGGAUGUACCUUGCCACUGCAGGCCUAGCAGGCUAUUUUUGGAUCUGACCCAUGGAUUGUCUUCCUGGUUGACUUUGAACCUGCCUCAUCACCCUGAACAUUUCUAGAUGUCUCUAGUUACUUAGGGUCUUGGCUGAGCUUGGCUGCUUUCCAGGCUGGCUUUGCCCGGAUGUGUGUGAUGGGCUGGUAAGGCCCUUAUGCUGCAAGUCCUUGCUGCUCCUUCAUGAUGUGCUUGGUGCCUUGAAUGUAGAAAAUCUCUUUGAAAUUCCUACAUUUGCUGUUUUAGCUGUGGAACUGUCCCCUCUUCAAAGCAGAUGAUGAAGAGAUGAAGGCCAACAUAAUACUACUGAAGGUUGCCUAAAAGGGACUGGAAACCACCAAGGGGAGAGGAAAGAAGACUGUGAGUGAAUGUUGUUACUCAGGUAACAGGCUUUAGCUUCAUAGGAAAUGAAAACAAAAGAGGAGAGGAUAUUGCUCACCUGUAGCUGGAUCUGAAAGAGCCCAAGAACAUGAAAGUCAAAAUAAUCAGUAAAUGCUCACCAUUUAUUGUCCUCCAUGCCACUGAGCAUUAUUUGGCUUCCCUGUCUCUUGAUGUCCUGUUGCCUUAGUCAGAGAGCAGAGAUCUUGAGCAAGCCGUGUAAUUUCCUUCUCCACUUCAGGGCCUGCCAGGGAAGGCAAGGGGCUUCCAGCUGCCUUGGACAAGCAGGGGUUGCCGAUCCUACGGGCUAGUGGCCAGUACAUUUGCUUUGUUCAUUGUAGCCUUUAUUGGGAUGUGAAGAGUGCCAGCCACGGAUUUCAUUAAUUCCACCAUCAGUAGGUCUGAAUUCAUUGCCACUAAUACAAUGCCUUUUUCUAUGUACUGUGCCAGGGGUAUUUUUUUGACACCAUGUGUGACCUCCUGUUAUUUCUCAACAAAUGUUGGCAGGCGCAACACAGCCGGCAGAGCAAAACAGCACAGUGUGUCACAAACUGCUGAGUGCAUCCAUGCUGAAAUGAACAGCCAAUUCCAAAGUGGGCUGAAAACGAAAUCAGGGAGAAAAGAAUACAUACUAAUAUUGCUCCCUGCUCCUCCAGCUUUGCUUCCUUUUGCACAUUACCUCCCUUGAACUGGACUUGGGCAACAACUAAAACAAGAUUGUAUUUUUUUUUUCUUUUCUAGUCAUCCAAAAAUUCUCCAUACUACUGUAACUGCUGUUUCAAAGAUAAUUCAAAGCAAUUUACCAAUCAGUUCCUUCCUCUAAAUUGAUGUUCAUCCCACUUCUUGCCUUCUACAGAAAGUUUUGACCUGGUCAAAUAAUCACAGAUAACUCCUGUGGUAAAUGGUGAUUAUCACCAUAACCUCACUUUUCCCUCCCUCCUUUUUCUCUGGGGAGUAGUUUCUCCCCUCCAUGUAGCUGUGUACUUCCUGCUGUGGAAGAGGAGAGCAGGGAGAAGUGUUGCAGUCAGCUGCAGGCAGCCUGAGCUUGUCCAGUGACAGAAAUAGUUGUGAAAGCUUUAACAGCGCCGAUGCAGGACAGGGCUGUGUAAUGUUGCAGUAUGUAGGGGAUACUGGGUCUGCUUCCUUAUUAAUAAUUGCCUGCAUCAUAUGCAGCCAUGCCAGAAACUCCCCACCACACUACCUUGGUCUCACUGCAUGCCUCUCCCCUCUGCUCAAGCCAACGAGGGGCUCAGUCACUGCUGCCAGCACAGGGCUCUGCCUCACGCAUUCAGCCCUUGGGGAAUUCAGCUCAGGUUGGUUAACGGUGUUCGGCUCUGUCCCUCAGGGUGCCUAAUACGCAUUGCAUUUGGGCUCAUCUCCUCACGGGGUUUUAUUUAGCAGCUGUCAGCUCUGGUGUGAUUAAUUUGACCUGUCUUAGGAUGACCGCGGUACGAGGUAAAUGCUCACAGAGCAGAUUCAUGCUGGGCACCCUCUGCACUCUGUCAGCCCUGCACGUUCUGUGGGCUCAGUACGGGGUGCUGGGCUUGAGUCUAGAGACAAGUUCCCCUGCCAACAUGCCUUUCAGGAAAGCAAGGCAAAAAGAAAUAGCUUCAAUACAACUAUCCUGCAAGCCUGGUUCUGUAGAGAAUUGUCAUUUUUUUGGCAUCAAGGAAAGCAUUUUAAAGUUGAUGAGAAAAGGCAAUAGGCUGAUUUACUUGGAUGCUUCAGUGUUUCUUUGACUUUAGCCAGGGGAGGCCACAAGGGGGGUAGAGAAAACCAAAAUAGAAUGCUGCACAAGGCUUGUUUGUAUGCACUGGGGCUUGCAGACACUUGCUAAACUUGUACCUGCACGUGGGCCAAGUGGAAAAGGAGGGCAGGCAAGAGUAAAAAGCAAUCAGCCCUUGCAGAGGCAGAUUAACUUUCACUGUCAGCUGCCACAAGUGAUGCCGUGUGGCCUGGAAAAGUUCUUGAACAAAGCAUGUGGAUGUGGGGGGGUGUCCUAUACUUGCAUGUUCAUGUCCUCUCUGCAAUCAGUCUCCCUUGGAGAGGAGUUUGGCUGUUGCAGCUCCUCUGACUGCACCCUCCCCUCCCUUCCCACGGGAGUGGGCCUGUAGAGCUGGGGCCCACCACAUGGCACUGGUGAGAUAAAAUACCCUGCAAGAAGUACUCCUAGAAAAAGCCAUGUCCUUGGAGACUUUGACUUCAGAAUCCCAGUGCAUUUAGGGAUGGAGAUGCAAGAAAACCCAUGAUCCCAUUGCAAUAGGGAGCACUGUGUUGCAUCUCUGGAGUAGCAGCACAUGAUGGCUCUUUCUGCAACAGCUGCUGGACCUGUUACAGCAGAGAAACAUGGGUGGAGAGGGUGACUGGUCUUGUGCUGCUGUCUCUGGUGAUACUUAGAUCCUUUUUCUGCUACUGUAGGAAACAAAUGAGACCAGAACUCACUGCUCCUCCCCUUUGCUGUCUUUUUGUUGUUAGUAUCCAGGGGCUCAAACUCAUUUGCACCUGCUCUCACAGGCCUUCUGUGGGUUUUGGUCACAUCCUUUGGAAACCUAGCCCAACAGUUGGGUACUGGCAGUUUUUCAUUUUCUGGCUGACCUAGCAAAAAUUUCUGGAAGUGGUCUUGGCUUCUGGAGUUGUGGUGUAUACUGCUUGUCUUGCCCCAUGAGGUCUGAAUUAGAUUAGGACUUGCUUUACAGGAAAUCUUAGAUAACGCCUGCCUGUGUUCACAGCUCAGCUCCUUGGGUGUAGCCCAGUAGUCUGAAUAGACUGUGAUUUACUGCCACCAGUGGAAUGAAACAAAAUCACUUUCUCUGAUUUAUAUCCCCUAUUGUAGUUAAAUAUUUACACAGUAUCAAGAUCUUAGUAAUUGAAUGGCUAACAGAUAGGCAACAAGUGUUUAUACACCUCUGAAAUGGCCACAGGGCCAUUGAGGUAAUGAUAUUUCAAACUGAUAAAAGGCCUUUGAGUAAGGAGAAACUUAAAGCUCUUUCAGCUGCAUUUGUUCUCAGGGAUAGUACUAACUCAUGCAGAUUUCGGUGGGCAGUGCAAUUUUUAGACUGUGAGAGAUGAACAACUUAUUUCAGAAAAAAUAGUGCUGCUGAAAUGAAACAAUUGGGGAGGCACACAGCAGCUUUCACACAGCGGUGUUGUUGAAUGCUUCAGGUAAGAAGGCAAGAAUAAACACCAGAUUAACAUCAGUCUGUGAAGGAAACUGAAGUGGGCAAAUUAAAACAAUACCUACCUGUAUUAAAUCAGGGCUUCUCCAUUCACUUGCAGAAAGGUAUUGUUAAAUAUUUCAUGACCCAUGGGUAAUCAAAAUUAGCCCUGUUUCCUGAAGCAAGGAGGGAUCACUUAAUUCCUACUUGUUCUGUUUAAUUCUAGGCCCAGGUGAGGAAGCUGGAAUUCAAAGCAGGUACAGCAGUUGCAAUUGAGUUCAAAUACUGCUGAGCUAAUUUUUAACUUGUUCUACAGUAAUCUUCUGAGCUUUUAAGUAAAGCUGAUCUGGGGAUAUGCUGUUGUCAGGUUAGGAUUUUGUCUGGGGCUGGCCAGUGGUGUCUAUUUCCCAGAGGAAGGAGUUACUUGUGCCUUCAAACUGUGUGGCUGUAUAAUGAAAGAUGUCAGCACUUCUUAAAACUGAAAACUGCAAGGAA